GCUCCCGUGGCGCAAUGGUAGCGCGCAAGACUUCUAUAUGGAUUUCCGCACAGCGAGAAACCGGGCUAUGAAAAUAGUGCGGAAUAUAUGUAAUCUUGAGGCUGCGGGUUCGAGCCCCGCCGGGAGCU